rnacentral:rRNA from 1 species
UGCCAGCCGCCGCGGUAAUACGAAGGUGGCAAGCGUUAUUCGGAAUCACUGGGCAUAAAGGGCCCGCAGGCGGCCCAAUAAGUUGAUAGUGAAAGCCCCCGGCUUAACCGGGGAACUGCUGUCAAUACUGUUGGGCUUGAGUACUGGAGAGGUGAGUGGAAUUCCUGGUGGAGCGGUGGAAUGCGUAGAUAUCAGGAAGAACGUCGGAGGCGAAAGCGACUCACUGGCCAGUAACUGACGCUGAGGGGCGAAAGCUAGGGGAGCGAACGGGAUUAGAUA